UUAAGUUCAGCGGGUAGUCCUACCUGAUUUGAGGUCAAGUUUAUCAUAUUGUCUCGAUAAAGACAGUUAGACAGCAGAGGGAUCAUGAAGCGUCUCUCUUGGCAUAGAUAGUCUAUCACACCAAUAGAGUGCAAAACUCCUCAACUAAUGCUUUUCAGAAGAGCCCACCACUUUAUCAGCGGCCGGCAACUCCCAAUGUC
rnacentral:misc_RNA from 1 species